rnacentral:rRNA from 1 species
AACGAACGCUGGCGGCAGGCUUAACACAUGCAAGUCGAGCGCCCCGGAAGGGGAGCGGCAGACGGGUGAGUAACGCGUGGGAACGUACCCUUUACUACGGAAUAACGCAGGGAAACUUGUGCUAAUACCGUAUGUGCCCUUUGGGGGAAAGAUUUAUCGGUAAGGGAUCGGCCCGCGUUGGAUUAGCUAGUUGGUGGGGUAAAGGCCUACCAAGGCGACGAUCCAUAGCUGGUCUGAGAGGAUGAUCAGCCACAUUGGGACUGAGACACGGCCCAAACUCCUACGGGAGGCAGCAGUGGGGAAUAUUGGACAAUGGGCGCAAGCCUGAUCCAGCCAUGCCGCGUGAGUGAUGAAGGCCCUAGGGUUGUAAAGCUCUUUCACCGGUGAAGAUAAUGACGGUAACCGGAGAAGAAGCCCCGGCUAACUUCGUGCCAGCAGCCGCGGUAAUACGAAGGGGGCUAGCGUUGUUCGGAUUUACUGGGCGUAAAGCGCACGUAGGCGGAUCGAUCAGUCAGGGGUGAAAUCCCAGGGCUCAACCCUGGAACUGCCUUUGAUACUGUCGAUCUGGAGUAUGGAAGAGGUGAGUGGAAUUCCGAGUGUAGAGGUGAAAUUCGUAGAUAUUCGGAGGAACACCAGUGGCGAAGGCGGCUCACUGGUCCAUUACUGACGCUGAGUGCGAAAGC